rnacentral:lncRNA from 1 species
UUGUCAAUAUAAAUUAGCUAUUAGGUUGACAGAUAACAUUCCUUAAUGCAUAGAGAUCAUGUAACAAAUACGUAUUUGAUUGGCAGACAAUUGUAACUUGUAACAUGUAUUGAUGCAGGUCUAUGAUGCUAACUGAUAAAAUCUAUAAUUUUUGAUGAAUUGAUGAUCAUAAUGAUGUGAAGAUUUAUUUCAAAACUCUUUGUAAUAUCGAGACUUAAUCCUCUGUGGUAUCACAAGUUCAGCGAUCUACAUAUAUCCAUAUAAUUAGGGGUGGGCACAGAACGGAUAAUAGCGUAAUUUUUAGUAUUUGUGAUUUGAUUCAUUAGUUUACAGAUAUUUAAUUUUUUUUAUUUUCUUUUUUUCGAAUUAUAUAGAUAUCUGGUUUUCAGGGUAUUUGGAAAUUUUACAAAUAUUUACGAAUAUUUACGGAUGUUUACGUAUAUUUAUUUCAUUUUUUUCAAUACAAGUAAAUCUAUAAGAUACUAUACAAGUUUGUUUUUAGAAAUAUCUUUUACAUAAUAUAAAAGAGUAAAAUUUAGUGAAAUUAUAUGUUCUAUAAUUCUUUUAUAAAACAUAAUUUUAGAAAAUUAUAGUUUUUAUAAAUAUUUUAUAUUUAUUUCUUAAUUUAAUAAUUUUAUAAAUAAAAUUAUUGUUAAAUAUUAAUUGUAUAAAAUUAUAAAUUUAGAUUUUUUUAUUUAAUUUUAG